rnacentral:misc_RNA from 1 species
GAUGAAGAACGCAGUGAAAUGCGAUAAGUAAUGUGAUUUGCAGAAUUCAGUGAAUCAUCGAAUCUUUGAACGCACCUUGCACCCUUUGGCAUUCCGAAGGGUAUGCUCGUUUGAGUGUCAUUGUACUCUCACUCUCCCGAUGCUUUUGGAUCGGGAGUGGUGGACUUGGGUGUUGCUGCUUUGCUGUGGCUCGCCUCAAAUGGAGUAGUGCAACUCUUGGUUGGACAUAGUACGGCGUGAUAAGUGUCUUCGCCGGCGCCUCAUUAUAGAGGGUGGCCGAUCGGGAGCUCUGUGCUUCAAACCGUCUUCGGACAACAUCUGACAACUUGACCUCAAAUCGAGUAGGACUACCCGCUGAACUUAAGCAUAUCAAUAAGCGGAGGA